CCUACGGGUGGCAGCAGUGGGGAAUAUUGCGCAAUGGGGGCAACCCUGACGCAGCAACGCCGCGUGAUUGAAGAAGGCCUUCGGGUUGUAAAGAUCUUUAAUCGUGGACGAAUUUUGACGGUACUCUAAGAAUUAGCACCGGCUAACUACGUGCCAGCAGCCGCGGUAAUACGUAGGGAGCAAGCGUUAUCCGGAUUUACGGGGUGGAAAGGGCGUGUAGGCGGGCAUGCAGGCCAGAAGUGAAAUCUGGCGGCUUAACCCUCAAAUUGCUUUUGAAACUGGGUGUCUUGAGUGAUGGAGAGGCAGGCGGAAUUCGUGGUGUAGCGGUGAAAUGCGUAGAUAUUGGGAGGAACACCAGUGGCGAAGGCGGCCUGCUGGACAGUAACUGACGCUGAGGCGCGAAAGCGUGGGGAGCAAACAGGAUUAGAUACCCUGGUAGUC
rnacentral:rRNA from 1 species